AUCUAUAGCCAUAUCAGCCUGAAUGUUCCCAAUCUCCUCUUAUCUCAGAAGCUGAGCAGGGUUGGGCCUGGUUAGUACUUGGAUGGGAGAAAUUAAGGUAACAUGCACA
rnacentral:rRNA from 1 species